rnacentral:lncRNA from 10 species
GAAGGAUUCUGAUUGGUCCUGCUUCAGUCACAUGCUUGCAUCUUAGUCCAAUCACUGUGGCCUGGAGGAUGGGACACCAUGAUUUGCAAGACUCUGGUCACAUGCCCACACCUGUGGCUUCUGAAGCAGAGCACCAGCAGUGACAGUCCCACCAGAACCGCAUGGAAUAGAAAACUGUGCAUUUCCCUAAGGAAAGGGAAUGCCAGAGAAGGGCAGAAGGGAAAUCAGGAAGACAAAACGUGUCUUCAUGUUGGAGUGGACCUUUCCUCUAUCUGUCAACAGAAUGGAUAAAUUGUGGAAGAGUAAUAUCAGAAUACUACACAUCAGUAAAAAACAACAAACUUCUGCUACAAACAAUCAACAUCGAUGAAUCUUUCAGGCAAAAGGGUUAAUGCCUACAAUAAGUGUUCUUGAAAUACAGUCACGCGUUGCUUAACCAUGGGGAUAUAUUCUGAUAAAUUCAUCAUUAGGCGAUUUCAUCACUGGGCGAACAUCACAGCUCGUACUCACACAAACCUAGAUGUCAUAGCCUACUACACACCUAGGCUAUAUGAUAUAGGCUAUUGCUAGCAACAAACCUGUACAGCAUGUUACUGUCUUGAAUACUUAGGCAGCAGAGCACAAUG